CAGGGUGCUGUGGCCCUCCCCAGGGAGGAUGCUCGCUGAUCCCAGGAUGAGGCAAUCUGUGCCCAGGGUGAUGAUGAGGAGGUCCAAUUUCUUGAGGAAAAUCCCCCUGGGGGUAAUCAAAACGAUGAGGAUAAGGAGGCCUUUCAAAGGGAUGGCGAGGUGGAAAAUCAUCCUGCAUGAAGCGAGGUGGAAAGCGGUUGAAAUUAUGCGGAUGCGGGGGCUGGUUGAAUUGGGGAUGUUGCUGAUGUGGAGGAAAUGGGCCUCUGAAGUGAGGUGGCCGCUGCAUUCGAAAUGGAGGUUCCCUUUGACCCCCACCCCAUGGAGGUUGUUCAUGCUGGUUGUUCCACG
rnacentral:lncRNA from 1 species